rnacentral:rRNA from 1 species
AACGAACGCUGGCGGCGUGCCUAACACAUGCAAGUCGUGCGAGAAAGUUCCUUCGGGAGCGAGUAAAGCGGCGCACGGGUGAGUAACACGUAGGUAACCUGCCCCCCAGUCUGGAACAACUAGAGGAAACUCUAGCUAAUGCCGGAUGAGACCACGAUCCCUUCGGGGGUUGCGGCCAAAGAUGGCCUCUACUUGUAAGCUAUCGCUGAGGGAUGGGCCUGCGGGCCAUUAGCUUGUUGGUGAGGUAACGGCUCACCAAGGCUGUGAUGGCUAGCUGGUCUGAGAGGAUGACCAGCCACACUGGGACUGAGACACGGCCCAGACUCCUACGGGAGGCAGCAGUGGGGAAUAUUGCGCAAUGGGCGAUAGCCUGACGCAGCGACGCCGCGUGGGUGAUGAAGGCCUCGGUCGUAAGACCUGUCG